rnacentral:rRNA from 1 species
UACAGAGGGUGCGAGCGUUAAUCGGAAUUACUGGGCGUAAAGCGCACGUAGGUGGCGACGGUAAGUCGGGCUGGUGAAAAGCCCCCGGGGCUCAACCUGGGGAAUUGCAUUCGAGACUGCAUUGCUGGAGUACGGAAGAGGAAGGCGGAAUUCCCGGUGUAGCGGUGAAAUGCGUAGAUAUCGGGAGGAACAUCAGUGGCGAAGGCGGCCUUCUGGUCCAGUACUGACACUCAAAGUGCGGAAAGCGUGGGGAGCAAACAGG